GAUGAACGCUGGCGGCGUGCCUAAUACAUGCAAGUCGAACGAGGUCUUCGGACCGAGUGGCGAACGGGUGAGUAACACGUUGGUACCUACCCCGAAGUGGGGAAUAACUGGCCGAAAGGUCGGCUAACACCGCAUAAUACCGCAAGGUUAAAGCAGUAAUGCGCUUCGGGAGGGGCCUGCGUCCCAUUAGCUAGUUGGUGAGGUAAUUGCUCACCAAGGCAACGAUGGGUAGCUGGAUCGAGAGGUUGACCAGCCACACUGGGACUGAGAUACGGCCCAGACUCCUACGGGAGGCAGCAGUAAGGAAUCUUCCACAAUGGACGAAAGUCUGAUGGAGCAACGCCGCGUGCA
rnacentral:rRNA from 1 species